rnacentral:rRNA from 1 species
CCACCGACCUUAGGCCACUAGCAACGGAAGGCGCAGCGGUUGUUGGCUCACGGUAGGUACUCUUGUUACCUUGGGUCAAGAAUGACCACCCGCAUUUUUCAGAUGAGGUUCAAGAGGUUGGCGUUCGUUGAAACCUCAGGUGGUUAGUGACUAAACAAACUGACUCCUCGUGGAGGUCUUCAUGUACACCACAAUAGACUUCGAACGACCUUGUAUAUGGAGAAAAAAGAAGACGUCAAACAAAAAAUCGUAAUUUGGAAAAAGUUCUACAUUGAUUUCAUAGACGUAUCAGGUCAAACGAAAUUCGUCACAUGUACAAAGAUAGUUCUACGUUUAAAGACAUGUACUACAUGUUUACAUAGUUCAUAGAACAAUUGGUACCACGGUGAACUAUCUAGAGACUUCUUCGUCACUGAAAACAAAUGUACAUAUAUUGUGUGUCUCGCUUGUCAUGACACUAUGGCAAACAAG